UUUGUUUAUUAACCGUGAAUUAAAUUUGCUGUUGUUGUAUGUGGAUACUUGCAUACUUCAUGUGUUCAACAGCAACAAAAAACCAGCGAUGAUCUUGAAUCUUAUUAUUCUUAUUGUUGUUGCUGUGUUCUACUAUACAUUCAUGCAACCAAGUGGAAAAGUGAGUGUUUAAUUCAAUUAACAAGUGCAUUUUCAUUAUUAAAUAAGAAUAUUUAAUUUUUUAUAAAAAAAAGAAAUACAAGUAGACUUUAAUUCAGUUACUGCAGCAGUGUGUUUAUUAUUUAAUUAAAUUAAAAAGAAAUCAAAAGUAUUUUUGUUUGAAUUAACAAUUGUAUUUGGAAGCUGAACAUUUGGAUAAUUGGAUUAUAAUACAACAGAUUGUCAUAAAUUUGUUUAAAUAUCAAUUUAAAUAACAAGCAUCCCCAUCAAAAUCUCCAAGACUGUGAAGUAGUGUAUUUAUUUGAUCCUUAAAGUAUGCAACAAUAAAUGUGGUCAUCAUGACAACAGACGAAGUAAUAUUGAGGCGCGACAAAGCUGCUGAGAAUGGUGAAGAGUUUCGUGAACCACCUCCUCGAAUACGCGGUCAAAGUACAUAUCUGGCGGUAAGUUUUGCACAAACAUAAAUUAUAUAAACAAAUAAUUUAAAUUCACUUUUAU